ACUCAAAGGAAUAGACGGGGACCCGCACAACCUGUGGAGCGUGUGGUUUAAUUCGAGACAAAGCGAAAAACCUUACCAGGGCUUGACAUCUUAUCGUUUUAUACCUUUGGAAACUUUGGUAGAUCCGCAAGGAUGAUAGGACAGGUGCUGCAUGGUUGUCGUCAGCUCGUGCCGUGAGGUGUUCCCUUAAGUGGGGAAACGAGCGCAACCCCCGUGAAAUGUUAAAUAUUCAUUUCAGACUGCCCUGUUUUUACAGGGAGGAAGGAGGGGUAGAUGUCAAAUCAGCAUGGCCCUUAUGCCCUGGGUUACACACACACUACAAUGGCGAAAAACAACGUGUUGCCAGCUAGCAAUAGCGAGCUAAUCACUGAAAUUUCGCCUCAGUUCAGAUUGGGGUCUGCAACCCGACCCCAUGAAGUCGGAAUAGGUAGUAAUCGCGGAUCAGCAUGCCGCGGUGAAUACGUUCUCGGGUCUUGUACACACCGCCCGU
rnacentral:rRNA from 1 species